rnacentral:rRNA from 1 species
UAGCAACGGUCGAACGGCAGCACAGGGAGCUUGCUCCCGGGUGGCGAGUGGCGCACGGGUGAGUAAUACAUCGGAACGUGUCCUGUUGUGGGGGAGUAACUGCUCGAAACGGUAGCUAAUACCGCAUAACGUCGCAAGACCAAAGAGGGGGACCUUCGGGCCUCUUGCCAUCGGAUGUGCCCAGAUGGGAUUAGCUAGUAGGUGGGGUAACGGCUCACCUAGGCGACGAUCCCUAGCUGGUCUGANAGGAUGACCAGCCACACUGGAACUGAGACACGGUCCAGACUCCUACGGGAGGCAGCAGUGGGGAAUAUUGCACAAUGGGCGCAAGCCUGAUGCAGCCAUGCCGCGUGUAUGAAGAAGGCCUUCGGGUUGUAAAGUACUUUCAGCGGGGAGGAAGGGAGUAAAGUUAAUACCUUUGCUCAUUGACGUUACCCGCAGAAGAAGCACCGGCUAACUCCGUG